GAACUGCGAUAAGUAGUGUGAAUUGCAGAAUUCAGUGAAUCAUCAAACUCUUGAACGCACAUUGCGCUCGGGCGUUAUGUCCGAGCACGCCUGUUUGAGCAUCGGUUUUCAAUCUCACCCCUUCCCUCAGGGGACUGCAGGGUGGAGCUGAGCUUCUGGCUGUGGCCAGUGGCUUGAAACGCAGGGGUCAUGCCUGUGUGCCUGGUUUCCUGGCCUCCGGAUAACUCCAGUACUUGACUCCAAUCGGGGACAUUGCUGGACCUCUGGCACGGUGGGAUGCCUGGCACAGAGUAACGUGACCUUACGGCACCUCUGGUGUCCCUUUCAACCUUCGAUCUCAAAUCAGGCGGGGCUACCCGCUGAAUUUAA
rnacentral:misc_RNA from 1 species